GCGGAAGUGGUGAAAUGGCAGACACACCAUCUUGAGGGGGUGGUACUCGAAAGGGUAUGGGGGUUCAAGUCCCCCUUUCCGCA
rnacentral:tRNA from 1 species